rnacentral:rRNA from 1 species
AUUGAACGCUGGCGGCAGGCCUAACACAUGCAAGUCGAGCGGAGCGGCGGACGGGGGAGUAAUGCCUAGGAAUCUGCCCGGUGGUGGGGGAUCACGUCAGGAAACGGGACCUAAUACCGCAUGCGAUCAGGUGAGCUUCGGGCGGCUUGGCUAGAUGGUGGGGUAAAGGCCUACCAAGGCGACGAUCCGGAACUGGUCUAAGAGGAUGAUCAGUCACACUGGAACUGAGACACGGUCCAGACUCCUACGGGAGGCAGCAGUGGGGAAUAUUCGACAAUGGGCGAAAGCCUGAUCGAGCCAUGCCGCGUGUGUGAAGAAGGUCUUCGGAUUGUAAAACUCUUUUGUUUGGGAGGCGUUACCUACAGAGUAAGCACCGGCUAACUUCGUGCCAGCAGCCGCGGUAAUAC